rnacentral:rRNA from 1 species
ACUCCUACGGGAGGCAGCAGUGGGGAAUAUUGCACAAUGGGGAAACCCUGAUGCAGCCAUGCCGCGUGUGUGAAGAAGGCCUUCGGUUGUAAAGCACUUUCAGUAGGGAGGAAGGUAGUGUAGUUAACACCUGCACUAUUUGACGUUACCUACAGAAGAAGCACCGGCUAACUCCGUGCCAGCAGCCGCGGUAAUACGGAGGGGUGCGAGCGUUAAUCGGAAUUACUGGGCGUAAAGCGCAUGCAGGCGGCCUGUUAAGUCAGAUGUGAAAGCCCGGGGGCUUAACCUCGGAAUUGCAUUUGAAACUGGCAGGCUAGAGUCUUGUAGAGGGGGUAGAAGUUUCAGGUGUAGCGGUGAAAUGCGUAGAGAUCUGAAGGAAUACCAGUGGCGAAGGCGGCCCCCUGGACAAAGACUGAACGCUCAGAUGCGAAAGCGUGGGGAGCGAAACAGGAUUAGAUACCCUGGUAGCACAGAG